GACGAACGCUGGCGGCGUGGAUUAGGCAUGCAAGUCGUGCGGAAAGGCUCCUUCGGGAGUACUCGAGCGGCGUAAGGGAGAGUAACGCGUGGAUAUCUACCCCCUGGACUGGGAUAGCGGCGGGAAACUGCCGGUAAUACCAGAUAAUGUCUGCGGACCAAAGGUGUGAUUCCGCCGGGGGAUGAGUUCGCGUCCUAUUAGCUAGUUGGUAGGGUAAUGGCCUACCAAGGCAAAGAUGGGUACCGGGUGUGAGAGCAUGGCCCGGCUCACUGGGACUGAGACACUGCCCAGACACCUACGGGUGGCUGCAGUCGAGAAUCUUCGGGAAUGGGCGCAAGCCUGACCGAGCGACGCCGCGUGCGGGAUGAAGGCCUUCGGGUUGUAAACCGCUGUCAGAGGGGAGGAAAUGCGUGAGAGUUCUCUCUCACGUUUGACCUAUCCUCAGAGGAAGUACGGGCUAAGUUCGUGCCAGCCGCCGCAGUAAAAC
rnacentral:rRNA from 1 species